CGUGAGGGAAAGGCGAAAAGAACCCCUGUGAGGGGAGUGAAAUAGAUCCUGAAACCGCAUGCAUACAAGCAGUGGGAGCACCUUCGUGGUGUGACUGCGUACCUUUUGUAUAAUGGGUCAGCGACUUAUAUUCAGUAGCGAGGUUAACCGUAUAGGGGAGCCGUAGAGAAAUCGAGUCUUAAUAGGGCGUUUAGUUGCUGGGUAUAGACCCGAAACCAGGCGAUCUAUCCAUGAGCAGGUUGAAGGUUGGGUAACACUAACUGGAGGACCGAACCCACUGUCGUUGAAAAGCCAGGGGAUGACUUGUGGAUAGGGGUGAAAGGCUAAUCAAGCCUGGUGAUAGCUGGUUCUCCCCGAAAGCUAUUUAGGUAGCGCCUCGGACGAAUACCAUAGGGGGUAGAGCACUGUUUCGGCUAGGGGGUCAUCCCGACUUACCAAACCGAUGCAAACUCCGAAUACCUAUGAGUACUAUCCGGGAGACAGACUGCGGGUGCUAACGUCCGUAGUCAAGAGGAAAACAAUCCAGACCGCCAGCUAAGGCCCCAAAAUCAUAGUUAAGUGGGAAACGAUGUGGGAAGGCAUAGACAGCUAGGAGGUUGGCUUAGAAGCAGCCACCCUUUAAAGAAAGCGUAAUAGCUCACUAGUCGAGUCGGCCUGCGCGGAAGAUGUAACGGGGCUAAAACUAUGUGCCGAAGCUGCGGAUGUAUACUUUGUAUACGUGGUAGGGGAGCGUUCUGUAAGCCGAUGAAGGUGUGUUGAGAAGCAUGCUGGAGGUAUCAGAAGUGCGAAUGCUGACGUGAGUAACGACAAAACGGGUGAAAAACCCGUUCGCCGAAAGACCAAGGGUUCCAGUCCAACGUUAAUCGGGGCUGGGUGAGUCGACCCCUAAGGCGAGGCCGAAAGGCGUAGUCGAUGGGAAAAUGGUUAAUAUUCCAUUACUUCUGUGUAAUGCGAUGAGAGGACGGAGAAGGCUAAAUCAGCCUGGCGUUGGUUGUCCAGGUGAAAGGAUGUAGGCAUGUAUCUUAGGCAAAUCCGGGGUACUCUAUGCUGAGAUCUGAUAGCAAGCUGUACUUGUACAGCGAAGUGGUUGAUGCCAUGCUUCCAGGAAAAGUCUCUAAGCUUCAGUUACACAGGAAUCGUACCCGAAACCGACACAGGUGGUCAGGUCGAGUAGACCAAGGCGCUUGAGAGAACUCUGCUGAAGGAACUAGGCAAAAUGGUACCGUAACUUCGGGAGAAGGUACGCUGUUGUUGGUGAUGGAACUCGCUUCCUGAGCUGACGACAGCCGCAGAAACCAGGCCGCUGCAACUGUUUAUUAAAAACAUAGCACUCUGCAAACACGAAAGUGGACGUAUAGGGUGUGAUGCCUGCCCGGUGCUGGAAGGUUAAUUGAUGGGGUUAGCGUAAGCGAAGCUCUUGAUCGAAGCCCCAGUAAACGGCGGCCGUAACUAUAACGGUCCUAAGGUAGCGAAAUUCCUUGUCGGGUAAGUUCCGACCUGCACGAAUGGCAUAAUGAUGGCGGCGCUGUCUCCAGCAGAGGCUCAGUGAAAUCGAAAUCGCUGUGAAGAUGCAGUGUACCCGCGGCUAGACGGAAAGACCCCGUGAACCUUUACUGCAGCUUGACACUGAACUUUGACCUUACUUGUGUAGGAUAGGUGGGAGGCUUUGAAGCUGGAACGCUAGUUCCAGUGGAGCCGUCCUUGAAAUACCACCCUGGUAAUGUUGAGGUUCUAACUCUGUCCCGUGAUCCGGGACGAGGACCGUGUCUGGUGGGUAGUUUGACUGGGGCGGUCUCCUCCUAAAGAGUAACGGAGGAGUACGAAGGUGCGCUCAGCGUGGUCGGAAAUCACGCGUAGAGUAUAAAGGCAAAAGCGCGCUUAACUGCGAGACCCACAAGUCGAGCAGGUACGAAAGUAGGUCUUAGUGAUCCGGUGGUUCUGUAUGGAAGGGCCAUCGCUCAACGGAUAAAAGGUACUCUGGGGAUAACAGGCUGAUACCGCCCAAGAGUUCAUAUCGACGGCGGUGUUUGGCACCUCGAUGUCGGCUCAUCUCAUCCUGGGGCUGAAGCAGGUCCCAAGGGUAUGGCUGUUCGCCAUUUAAAGAGGUACGCGAGCUGGGUUUAGAACGUCGUGAGACAGUUCGGUCCCUAUCUACCGUGGGCGCUGGAAAUUUGAGAGGAUCUGCUCCUAGUACGAGAGGACCAGAGUGGACGAACCUCUGGUGUACCGGUUGUGACGCCAGUCGCAUCGCCGGGUAGCUAUGUUCGGAAGGGAUAACCGCUGAAAGCAUCUAAGCGGGAAGCCUACCUCAAGAUAAGAUUUCCCUAGGACUUUAUGUCCUCUAAAGAGCCGUUCGAGACUAGGACGUUGAUAGGUUGGAUGUGGAAGCAUAGUGAUAUGUGAAGCUGACCAAUACUAAUUGCUCGUGAGGCUUGACUAU
rnacentral:rRNA from 1 species